GCAAGUCGAGCGCUCUCUUCGGAGGGAGCGGCGGACGGGUGAGUAACGCGUGGGGAUGUGCCCUUCUCUAAGGAAUAGCCACUGGAAACGGUGAGUAAUACCUUAUACGCCCUUCGGGGGAAAGAUUUAUCGGAGAAGGAUCGGCCCGCGUUAGAUUAGAUAGUUGGUGGGGUAAUGGCCUACCAAGUCUACGAUCUAUAGCUGGUUUUAGAGGAUGAUC
rnacentral:rRNA from 1 species